CGGAUUCAUAGUGUAACUGGUUAGCACGCAAGAUUUUGACUCUUGCAGUUUAGGUUCAAAUCCUAAUGAAUCAA
rnacentral:tRNA from 1 species